AGCGCUCGGAGCAGGCGCCGGGACAGGACAGGACAGAGCGGUGCUGUGAGGAGCCCCCGCACAGCGCACUCGUUCGUGUCCGACCCGGAGCUUUUCUGAGGAAUUACUUCUAGACGUGACCUCAGGGCCAGACUGCAGGACUUGGCAUUUGUCUUGCAAUUUUCCAUUAUUUCAAUCUUUGACAUGGAGCAGAGAUCCCCAAGACUGCCCAAGCUGCCCUGGGUGGAGAAGGAGGAAAAAUACCCUGAACCUGACCCAGAGGGACAUUCCCAUGGACAGAACCGAAGGGGGAUGGCAAGUUCAUUGAGCAGAGACCCCCAAGAGUUCCCAAGCUGGCCUGGGUGGAGAAGGAGGAAGAAGAGCCUGAGCCUGAACCUGACCCAGAAGUGGAGACUGAGGAGGUUGUGCCGAUCCAGCUGCUGCAGGAUGACACGUGUGUGACGGCAUCGGAUACUACUGGUGGGAAGGAAAACUGGGAAUGGCUCCGGCGGCUCCGCAAUCUCCACCAAGCUCAGCAUCCUGUCUGGAGAGCUCUACAACUCAGGACUACACAAAAACACAUGGAAAAAUCAAGGAACUCAGGCGCACAAUGGAAACAAAGUGAAUGAAGAUGGGCAAAACCAGCAAAGCAUGAACAGGAGGAGACUUCCAGCCCAUUCAGAAAGGAAAAGUAGGAUUCUCUUUGAAAAAAAUUCCAGUAGCAUUUUAAAAAAAACCUAAAAUCUUCCUAAAUAAAACCAAAAUUUUGGGCCCUCCCAGGCCCUGGUA